rnacentral:rRNA from 1 species
UACGUAGGGUGCGAGCGUUGCCCGGAGUUACUGGGCGUAAAGGGCGUGUAGGUGGUUUCGUAAGUCUGGCGUGAAAUUUUUCGGCUUAACCGGGAAAGGUCGUCGGAUACUGCGGAACUAGAGGACGGUAGAGGCGUGUGGAAUUCCGGGUGUAGUGGUGAAAUGCGUAGAGAUCCGGAGGAACACCAGUGGCGAAGGCGAGUCUCUGGACAUUUCCUAACGCUGAGGCACGAAAGCCAGGGGAGCAAACGGG